rnacentral:rRNA from 1 species
CGUGAGCAACCUGCCCUGGACUUUGGGAUAACCCUCGGAAACGGGGGCUAAUACCGGAUACGACACGCCUUCGCAUGGGGUGCGUGUGGAAAGUUUUUCGGUCUGGGAUGGGCUCGCGGCCUAUCAGCUUGUUGGUGGGGUGAUGGCCUACCAAGGCGACGACGGGUAGCCGGCCUGAGAGGGCGACCGGCCACACUGGGACUGAGACACGGCCCAGACUCCUACGGGAGGCAGCAGUGGGGAAUAUUGCACAAUGGGCGGAAGCCUGAUGCAGCGACGCCGCGUGAGGGAUGACGGCCUUCGGGUUGUAAACCUCUUUCAGCAGGGACGAAGCGUAAGUGACGGUACCUGCAGAAGAAGCGCCGGCCAACUACGUGCCAGCAGCCGCGGUAAGACGUAGGGCGCGAGCGUUGUCCGGAUUUAUUGGGCGUAAAGAGCUCGUAGGCGGCUUGUCGCGUCGACUGUGAAAACCCGCGGCUCAACC